rnacentral:lncRNA from 1 species
CAGGCUUGGGCAGUGGCUAUGGUAAAGAGCAAAGGAAGCCACUACAGAUAUAUUCAAUAGGCUACAUCUGUCAGUACAAACUUUGAUUGAGGAAAUUAUGACGUCAUUUACAUUUUUAUUUUAGACUGCCUCACCCAAAACAAAUAACACCACACAUCUGUCUGUCUGUCUGCGACCGACCAACCGACCGACCGACCGACCAGAAUCUUUGAUGAGGGGCCAAGAGCUGAUUUACACUGCUAUGCCCAUCAAUGGGGCUCUGGCAAAGACUUCCAGCCUUACCUCUUGCCUGCUCACCAACGGACGUCGAUAGGGAGAACAGAAUUAGAUGCAUGAGAUAUCAUAGACCUGGCACUCAACACAUCCACAACGAGAUGGACUGGAGAUGCUUUUGCCAGAUGGCAGCCUUAGUCAUUUGAUGGGGAGACCAUCAUUGAAAACAUGUCUGGAGCCAGAACAUGGAGACUUGUGAUGACGUCCAGACUGACAGACGGGCUUGAUACUGUCUCUGAAUGGAGAGAAAAAAAAAUACUACACACAACUUUUACUUGGAUUGUCUUUUUGAUUAUUCGAUUGAAUGGUAUCAGUCAAUAUGGGGAGGGAGUAACCCUGUGUAUUCUGCACCAGGAUCAGAGAACUCCUGUUAUAUAUGGGACACCACACAGGAAGACAUGACCACUCUGACAUGUUACCAAGGUAGCCCCAUUACCACCAG